rnacentral:rRNA from 1 species
GAAACUGAUCUCCCCGUGAAGAAGCGGGGAUAUAAAUAUAAGACGAGAAGACCCCAUGGAGCUUUAAACCUGACAACACCCAUUUAUCUUUUACCCUAGUAUUCAUUAGGCCCUGUUUGUUUGGUUUUAGGUUGGGGUGACCACGGAGUAUAAAAUAACCUCCAAGAAAAAUGGACCAACAAUCCUUAUCAAAGAACUACAAUUCUAUGAAUUAAUAAAUUAAUUUUUAAUGACCCGAUAUUUAUUCGAUCAACGAACCAAGUUACCCUGGGGAUAACAGCGCAAUCCACUUUAAGAGCCCAUAUCGACAAGUGGGUUUACGACCUCGAUGUUGGAUCAGGGUAUCCUAGUGGUGCAGCAGCUACUAACGGUUCGUUUGUUCAACGAUUA